AAAGCCCUAUAAGUAUCUACCUUCGCUUUCCACAGCAAAGGCACACCCUCUCAGCACUUCUUCAUCUCUCUGAAAUGGCUUUCCAACAAACCCUCUCGAGUCACUCAGUGUUCCUUAUUCCCUGGGAUACCCCUGCAAACAACCCAUCCAGAGCACAAGUAUUUCAUAUCAUAAAGGUUGAGAGCACGAGUAUCUCAUAUCAUGCUUUCUCCAUGUCCUUUCUCCAGCCAGCACCUGCUCUCGAGUACUCAUCAUCUUAUGUUUCCGCUUCGUCUCUCACGCAUAAGGGAAGUGAAGAUGAUACCUCGAAGCAUGUGGAGACAACGUGCUGAUUCAUCCUCAACUAGGGACAAGGAGAAAGAGAGCAAGAGGUGGGGGCACUUGGAAAGAUUGAAGAAAGAAACAGACCAACACCUUUGCCUCGUGCCUGCCCACCGUGCAGAAGAAACAAGCAGAGAAGAAUGCAGACUGCACUCUGAUAUUCCCCGCUCAGAAUUCCAAACCAG
rnacentral:lncRNA from 1 species